UACGGAAGGCAGCAGUGGGGAAUAUUGCACAAUGGGCGCAAGCCUGAUGCAGCCAUGCCGCGUGUAUGAAAAAGGCCUUCGGGUUGUAAAGUACUUUCAGCCGUGAGGAAGGUGUUAAGGUUAAUAACCUUAGCAAUUGACGUUAGCGACAGAAGAAGCACCGGCUAACUCCGUGCCAGCAGCCGCGGUAAUACGGAGGGUGCGAGCGUUAAUCGGAAUUACUGGGCGUAAAGGGCACGCAGGCGGUUAAUUAAGUUGGAUGUGAAAUCCCCGGGCUUAACCUGGGAAUGGCAUUCAAGACUGGUUAGCUAGAGUCUUGUAGAGGGGGUAGAAUUCCAUGUGUAGCGGUGAAAUGCGUAGAGAUGUGGAGGAAUACCGGUGGCGAAGGCGGCCCCUGGACAAAGACUGACGCUCAUGUGCGAAAGCGUGGGGAGCAAACGAGGGAUUAGAUACC
rnacentral:rRNA from 1 species